UCUCUGGUGUGUAGAUGGCGGCCGGAAUAAGAAUUCUAAUUGGAACUAUUUUCACAUCAAAGAGUCCACUACACUUAAACAUCCAAUCAGUGUUCCAAAAACGACAUAACUUCCACAUUUUAUUGGAAGACUUUUAUAACUUAUUAUGUUUUCAAUGAACAUAUUAUUUAGACUUUUCAGAUUCGGCUAUCUUUUCAAAUUCGUAAGAUUUUCGCGGAAGGACCAGGACAAGGUUGUAUCGCACUCAUCAAUGCUUCACAAUGGAGUAUCACUGCGCCUCAGCAUUGCGGUGGCUGUGGACAUGGAAGCGCAUGCGCGUCAAUAACAAUUCGAUGGAAAGGUCGAGAACGUUCACCAUGUUCCUGGAGCUUUGCUGCAACCCAAGACCAUAAGAGGAGAACAACGGAACAUCAAGCAAAAGCUUAAGAAGUGGGAAAGGACAUGAUGGUAUGGAUGGCAGACAAUUUACAACACAGAAAAUAUAUCUGUGUUAAUUUGCCAUUCUCUGUAUAAGAAUCCUACUCAUUGACUACAGUUCAGCCUUCAACACUAUUACCCCCUCGAGACUGAUUACGAAUCUUACUGAUCUUGGACUAAGCCCUACUCUCUACAACUGGAUCUUCAGUUUUCUGACCCGCAGGCCAC